ACGGGUGAGUAACACGUGGGCAAUCUGCCCUGCACUCUGGGACAAGCCCUGGAAACGGGGUCUAAUACCGGAUACGACCUUCCCCUGCAUGGGGGUUGGUGGAAAGCUCCGGCGGUGCAGGAUGAGCCCGCGGCCUAUCAGCUUGUUGGUGGGGUAAUGGCCUACCAAGGCGACGACGGGUAGCCGGCCUGAGAGGGCGACCGGCCACACUGGGACUGAGACACGGCCCAGACUCCUACGGGAGGCAGCAGUGGGGAAUAUUGCACAAUGGGCGAAAGCCUGAUGCAGCGACGCCGCGUGAGGGAUGACGGCCUUCGGGUUGUAAACCUCUUUCAGCAGGGAAGAAGCGCAAGUGACGGUACCUGCAGAAGAAGCACCGGCUAACUACGUGCCAGCAGCCGCGGUAAUACGUAGGGUGCGAGCGUUGUCCGGAAUUAUUGGGCGUAAAGAGCUCGUAGGCGGCCUGUCGCGUCGGAUGUGAAAGCCCGGGGCUUAACCCCGGGUCUGCAUUCGAUACGGGCAGGCUAGAGUGUGGUAGGGGAGAUCGGAAUUCCUGGUGUAGCGGUGAAAUGCGCAGAUAUCAGGAGGAACACCGGUGGCGAAGGCGGAUCUCUGGGCCAUUACUGACGCUGAGGAGCGAAAGCGUGGGGAGCGAACAGGAUUAGAUACCCUGGUAGU
rnacentral:rRNA from 2 species